AAUAACCUCAUCAGACGACAGAGAUCAGACGACAGACAGGUUGGUUUCUGUCGUCUGAUAUAUUUUAACGACAGACAGUGUAAAAACUGUCGUCUGAAUAUAGCAACAUACCAUGGUAAGUUAGCUUUGAGAAUUAGGUUUGUCUUCACACUACAGUUAUCUGUCAUCUAAUCAAAGGAGAUAAAUUUGAUUUCGGUUCGUGUUGUAUCUGCUUUUUUUUUUUUUUUGUUCAGACGACAUUUAUCUGUCGUCUUGUCAAAGGAGAUAAUUUUUUUUUUGUCAUAGCUGUUUGUUUUUUUGGCACAACAUGAAGGGAUAUAUGCCAAAUUUUAAAGCUAUUUCUCUCUCCCCGACAAAUUUAACCCUUUGAAAAAUUUUCUCUUCCACAUCUGAGAAACCCUAUCUAUCUCACUCUCCCUUAGGCACAGAAGAACCCAGUAGCCCCAACUCAACACAAAUUUCUUGGCAGAUCUCCCCCAUUAAACUCUCCUCUAAUCAAAACUGAAAACUCAAUCUCCCCCAUCUCUCUUCGACAAACAUAGAACCCAUCUCAAUCACUUUUUCAAACCAUACAGCCAAACCAUCUCAAUCCCUCUCACGAGUUCUUGUUGGUGUUGAGAAGAUUUCAACGCUUUCAAUCCGUAUUGUUUCACUAUUGUUGGGUAAGCCCUUCGAUUCACUGUUAAUCAAUUUAUUUAGAAUUUCUUUUGGAUUGGGUUUUAGGGUUUUAAUUGAAAAUUUCUAUUCAAAUUUGAUUUGUGUUUACUGGGUUAUAUUCGAAUUGGGGAUACAAGGUUUUCUUUUGUCUGGGUUAUGUUCAAAUUUUCUUUUCGAAGGUACGAUUCGUCUCUGAAAUCGGUGAAGGAGCUUAACCAACCCCUGGAUUCGAAUUGCGGGGUGUUCGUGAAUCGGAGAAGGAGAUGAUAGGAGAGUUGGAAAACUAAAGGUUGCUGCUCCAGUUGAUAAGAGUAGCAAAGGAAAGGCCAUUUUUCAUUGGUUUUGCUAGCAUCUCAUUGAUGGGUCAAUUUAGUUUUGUCAUGUUUUAUUCAAUUCAAUUGUGUUUGUGGGUUUUGUAGAUUGGAUUUAUUGAAGAUUUUGAAAGCAUGUUUCUGAAAUCUUGGACAGAAGACCAUUUGAGGCAAGAGCCUCUUCUUCUCCUUUCAUACUUCCAGAAAGGUCAAUUCUUUUUUUCUUAGGCUUUAGGUGUCCCAAGCUAUAAUGUUUAUCAUUCUAUCUAGUAUGCUGAUCCUAGUAUGGUCUUGUAGAUUUGGAAAUGGUUAUAAAUGGUAUCCUUCCUGCUUAAUUUUUUUUCUUUCUAAUUUCAUUGUUAUUGAGCCCAAAUUAUUGAUUGAUCAAUAGAAGGGAGCAUGCUGAUUAGUUGUGUGCUGCUCUAUUGUGCCCGACUACAUAUUCUAUGCCUUCUACAGAACUUAGUGACAAAUUAACAGUUGUAUUUGUUGUGAGUUUUCUCGAAUUAUAUGCACUUGUUUUUCUAUAGUGGUACCCUCAUAAUUAGCUUGGACAUGCAUGUUGUAGUCAUAGUGGAAAUUGCCAAUAUGUUAUAAUGGACUACAAAUAAUGAUAGAGGGAUUGAUCGGACUAGUGCAUUCUACUAAAGCCUCUUCAAGAACCAGAGAAGAUGACCAAUAUUAUUCUUCAAGCUCUGAAAACUACUGGACAAAGAGGCAUUAUCAACAAAGGCUGGGGUUGGUAAUUCAGUACAAUCAAAUGAUUCUGUGUACUUAGUGGACAAUUGCCCCCAUGAUGACUCUUCCUCGGAUGCUCUGUUGUGGUCAGGAACGUUACCAUGGCCUGGCUCCCAUGUAUUACCGCGAUGCAGCUGCAGCUGUUGGUCUAUGAUAUCACAAGCCUGGUAAUCAUUCAACUCUCCAAUUUAGGUUCAGAUGUCCUUAUGUGUUGCUGGUUUUUGCAAGUUCGUGUUUGUAAUUUCACGGAACAUUAGACUUUCAAGUUUCAACAUUAUACAGUCCCUGCAAUGGUUCCAUUAUAAGUAUCUGCAGAUUAUAUGUAAUCAACUUGAAGUUUUUCUGUUUUUGAUACUCUUGAAGCAAAGACUUUAGCAUCUUUGAUAUAUAACUUUUGAAAGCAGAAUGAGCCACUUGUGACAUGCUCAUUGUAAGCCUUAAAAUUUUAUCUAUCAAAUGAUCGAAGACUAUGUCAUUAAUUAUCUGCAAUAUGAGUUGCUUAGACUUUAUCUG